rnacentral:lncRNA from 1 species
CAAUUCCCUCAAGUUAAAUAUUAAGUUUAAGCUUUCCAAGUUUUAGCACUCAUCAAGACUAGUAUCAGAUAAUGUAGGUUUCGCCUACGCGAGGUGCAUGUUCUAUAUUAGUAAGGUGCGAUGGGAUGAUUGUAAUAUCCAACUGCUAAAACAAUGGGUCAAACUUAACUAAACAAAUUAUAAUAAGAUUAUAUGUGUUUAGAAGCAAGAGUUGGAAAUGAUCCAUAUGAUGGAUUGGAAAAAG